CCCCUUCCGUCUCCCUCCACUCCCCCUUCCGUCUCCCUCCACUCCCCCUUCUCCCCCCCUCUCUCUCCCCUCCCUCUUUCUCGCCCCCUCUUUCUCGCUCUCUCUCCAGGUUGAGAGAAACUGAUUGUGAAAAGCAUCAUGUAACAUAAAUCACCAUAGAAACGUAGCAGAGAUCUUUUAAAUAUAGCAAUAUACAGACUAAUGUAUGAUACUUAUAAUCUCAACAUAUAUAAAUACAUACCUGUAUGAUAUAAAUACCAGUAUGACAAUGUUUGUAAUUUAUGUAUAAAAUAAUUCAGCAACAUGUUUAUUAGUAUUUUGUUGAUGUUUCCAGAAGGUUUGAUGACUUUCUAUUGGUUGAUGUUUCCAGAAGGUUUGAUGACUUUCUAUUGGUUGAUGUUUCCAGAAGGUUUGAUGACUUUCUAUUGGUUGAUGUUUCCAGAAGGCUUGAUGACUUUCUAUUAAAUAUUUAGUAAAA